UACAGAGGGUGCAAGCGUUGUUCGGAAUUAUUGGGCGUAAAGAGCUCGUAGGCGGUUUGUCGCGUCGGCCGUGAAAUCUCCACGCUUAACGUGGAGCGUGCGGUCGAUACGGGCAGACUUGAGUUCGGUAGGGGAGACUGGAAUUCCUGGUGUAGCGGUGAAAUGCGUAGAGAUCGGGAGGAACACCAGAGGCGAAGGCGGCGACCUGGACAGGUACUGACACUCAACUACGAAAGCGUGGGGAGCAAACAGG
rnacentral:rRNA from 1 species